AACGAACGCUGGCGGCAGGGUUUAGGCAUGCAAGUCGCACGGGAAAGCCGCAAGGUGAGUACAGUGGCGUAAGGGUGAGUAAUAGGUAGCUGACAUAUCCUUUGGACGCGGAUAAUUCCUCGAAAGGGGUUGUAAUACGCGAUGAGACCACGGGCUUCACGGAGCCUGGGGUCAAAAGUCGGGGAUCCUUCGGGACCUGGCGGCCAAGGGAGUGGGCGACCUCCGAUUAGCUAGUUGGCGGGGUAACGGCCCACCAAGGCGACGAUCGGUAGGGGGUGUGAGAGCAUGGCCCCCCACACGGUACGU
rnacentral:rRNA from 1 species